GUUUUUGUAGUUGAUCGAUAGUGGCUUUUCACGUCACAGAUCUCAGUUAAAGCCUGGGCAUAAACAC
rnacentral:tRNA from 1 species